rnacentral:lncRNA from 1 species
GCUCCUAUAACUAAGAUCAAAAAGGUCUUUAUUGAGGGUUGUAAUGUAGGCUCUUUGGUAGGGUAGGAUAUAUUUGGCUAAGUGACUAAUAGAUACUCUCAAUGUAGCAUAAUCACCAACCUUAUAGCAUUCUUACUCAAUUCUAUCCUCCACCUUCCGCAAAACCAAAUUUUUCAAUACGAAAACCAUCACAACUCAACAAUUAUUUCUCAUAACAUUAUGUCUC